CGGAUUCAGAGUUACUCACCUCAGGCAUU
rnacentral:piRNA from 1 species